rnacentral:rRNA from 1 species
AUUGAACGCUGGCGGCAGGCCUAACACAUGCAAGUCGAGCGGAUGAAGGGAGCUUGCUCCUGGAUUCAGCGGCGGACGGGUGAGUAAUGCCUAGGAAUCUGCCUGGUAGUGGGGGAUAACGUCCGGAAACGGGCGCUAAUACCGCAUACGUCCUGAGGGAGAAAGUGGGGGAUCUUCGGACCUCACGCUAUCAGAUGAGCCUAGGUCGGAUUAGCUAGUUGGUGGGGUAAAGGCCUACCAAGGCGACGAUCCGUAACUGGUCUGAGAGGAUGAUCAGUCACACGGGGAAUGAGACAAGGCCAAGACUCCUACGGGAGGCAGCAGUAGGGAAGCUUGGGCAAUGGACGAAAGUCUGAACGAGCAACGCCGCGGGAGUGAAGAAGGUUUUCGGAUCGUAAAAAUCUGUUGUUAGAGAAGAACAAGGACGUGAGUAACUGAACGGCCCGUGACGGUAGCUAACCAGAAAGCCACGGCUAACUACGUG